GAAGGAGUGACCUCUACAACUGAAUCACCUUCAGCUGCUCCUCAAGUAAAAUCAAUGAAAAAGUUCUGGAGAUGGAUGACAGCAACAGUCAGACAACAAUUCAAACGUACUUAAGACCACUGCACUAUACACUUUAAAAUGUUUAACAUGGCAAAAAUUAUGUAUAUAUAGAGAGAGACAAAGAAAGAGAGGUUUGCUACAAUUCUUAACAGUUUAUGAACAUUAAUAAAAACUUUUGCUGUGCUGA